rnacentral:rRNA from 1 species
UACAGAGGGUGCGAGCGUUGUCCGGAAUCACUGGGCGUAAAGGGCGCGUAGGUGGCGGGAUAAGUAUGUGGUGAAAGCCCGGGGCUCAACCCCGUGUCUGCCAUGUAGACUGUCUUGCUCGAGCAUAGUAGAGGCAAGUGGAAUUCCGGGUGUAGCGGUGGAAUGCGUAGAGAUCCGGAAGAACACCGGUGGCGAAGGCGGCUUGCUGGGCUAUUGCUGACACUGAGGCGCGACAGCGUGGGGAGCAAACAGG